rnacentral:tRNA from 1 species
UCCCUGGAGGACUAGUGGUUAGGCCACACCGCUUUGACCGCUGUGGCCCAGGUUCAAUUCCCAGCCAGGGAA